CCUAAGGGACCUUUAACAUCCGAUAAAAUUGGAAUGAUACAGAAAAGAUUAGCAUGGCCCUUACGCAAGGAUGACAUGCACAAAUCGAGAAAUGGUCCAAAUUUUA